rnacentral:tRNA from 5 species
GGCGCUAUCGUCUAAUGGUUAGGACGGCACCCUUUCAAGGUGCAAACCCGGGUUCGACUCCCGGUAGCGUCACUA